GACGAACGCUGGCGGCGUGCUUAACACAUGCAAGUCGAACGGAAAGGCCCUGCUCUUGUGGGGUGCUCGAGUGGCGAACGGGUGAGUAACACGUGAGUAACCUGCCCUUGACUUUGGGAUAACUUCAGGAAACUGGGGCUAAUACCGGAUAGGAGCUCCUGCUGCAUGGUGUGGGUUGGAAAGUUUCGGCGGUUGGGGAUGGACUCGCGGCUUAUCAGCUUGUUGGUGGGGUAGGCGCUUACCAAGGGUUAGACGGGUAGCCGGCCUGAGAGGGUGAACGGGGUCAUGGGGACUGAGAUACGGACCAGAAUCCUACGGGAGGCAGCAGUGGGGAAUAUUGCGCAAUGGGCGGAAGCCUGAUGCAGCAACGCUGCGUGCGGGAUGACGGCCUUCGGGUGGUAAACCGCUGUCGCAUGUGACGAAGCGUGAGUGACGGUAACGGGUAAAGAAGCACCGGCUAACUACGUG
rnacentral:rRNA from 1 species